UUUUGUUGUAAAGAAAUAUCAUAUAUAAUUAAUUCUUUUUUAAUUUUCUUUCUUUCUUUAUUUUUGCAUUACAAUUCUUAAUACACCAUUAUAUCAUAAUUUAUCAUAUCUCUGAUUAUAUAUAAGGUAUGUUGACACCAAAUUCAAUUCUUUAAAAAUAUAGAUAAUAAAUAAGAUAUCUUUAAACAGAAACAUAUAAAACUAAUUCAUGUAUUGAUCAUUUGAAAGGAAUGAGACCAGAGGUUCACGGGAACUGAACCUUGGAGUUCUACUGUGAAUAGUUCACUAUUUGCUAAUUAAUUGUAUAAGUUGACUUUAUAUAGCCUCACUACCACAAAUAAUAAGAAUCAUUUGUGUACACCCUGACAUAGGUUGUAUGUGUGUUUGGGAAGAGUUUAAUCCAAACUGCAGAUAUGCUAACGUUUUAUUUGUAAAUAUUUUAAUGUCUCUCUAACCACAGUGGUUCUCCAAAGUGUGGUCUGAGUAACCCUGGAGACACCUGGGACCUUUUCAGGGUGUUUAGGAAUUCGUCCUUUUUCUAACUGUAUCUCCAUGAAUUCGGAUUUUUUUCGUAAAAUUCAACCAAAACAACAUAUUAGAACCUUAAAUGCAGAAGCAAAUAUGAGAAUCUAGCUGUCUUGUAUUAAUGCAGAUAUUAAAGUUAUUUGCAAAAAAUGUAAAGUGGUUCUUUUAAUAAAAUUUUAUUUACACAAAUUUGUAGUGGGUUCAUUGUUAUUUUUUCUAUUUUUCUAUUUUUUUCUUUUUGGUUCUGGGAUCAAAUGCAAGACCACACAAGUGCUCUACCACUGAGCAACACCCCAGUCACUAUUGUUAUUUUAAAG
rnacentral:lncRNA from 1 species